ensembl:lncRNA
GUCCUUGUUCAUCAGAAUCCGGAGGGGGUAGUGCACAGCUCAGAAAGUCCUUUAAUGAGGGGCUGCUUGUUUUAUGACAUCUUGCACCCUCAGCAUCAGUAGCUGUAAGGACCAAAAGUCUCUCUUGCUGUUGCUUCACAGAGAAUCAGUAAGCAUGACUUUCAAGGAAGUGCUAACACAUCCGUUCAAAACCUGAACUGAUCCUUGUAAGGAGGAAGGUCCAGACUCAACGAGCUUCUGAUGUCCCCAUCUUCCCUCGGUCCCAGACUCCAGGGCCCCAGGAAUCUCAGUGACCUCAGGGGUCUUCGUGAUCUUGGAGAUCUCAUGGGACUGGACAUGUCAAACCAGUAUGUCAGGAAUCCAAACAGAAGAAGUGGAAUCCUGUGGAAACACGCAAGCAUACCCUCUCCUGCAAGUUAACAGCACAUCUGGCCCUUUCCACUCUCCGAUGGUGAUUGCAGCCAUGAAAUUAAAAGAAGCUCACCCCUUGGAAGGAAAGUUAUAACCAAUCUAGAUAGCAUAUUGAAAAGCAGAGAUGUUACUUUGCCAACAAAGGUCCGUCUAGUCAAACCUAUGGUUUUUCCAGUAGUCAUGUAUGGAUGUGAGAAUUGGACUGUGAAAAAAGCUGAGCACCAAAGAAUUGUUGUUUUUGAACUGUGGUGUUGGAGAAGACUCUUGAGGGUCCCUUGGACUGCAAGGAGAUCCAACCAGUCCAUUCUAAAGAAGAUCAGUCCUGGGUGUUCUUUGGAAGGAAUGAUGCUAAAGCUGAAACUCCAAUACUUUGGCCACCUCAUGCAAAAAGUUGACUCACUGGAAAAGAC